rnacentral:piRNA from 1 species
UCGUAACUCCACUCAAACAUU